rnacentral:rRNA from 1 species
UCUUCGGAGGCAGUGGCAGACGGGUGAGUAACACGUGGGAAUCUACCUAGUUCUACGGAACAACAGUUGGAAACGACUGCUAAUACCGUAUACGCCCUACGGGGGAAAGAUUUAUCGGAAUUAGAUGAGCCCGCGUAAGAUUAGCUAGUUGGUGAGGUAAUGGCUCACCAAGGCGACGAUCUUUAGCUGGUCUGAGAGGAUGAUCAGCCACACUGGGACUGAGACACGGCCCAGACUCCUACGGGAGGCAGCAGUGGGGAAUAUUGGACAAUGGGCGCAAGCCUGAUCCAGCCAUGCCGCGUGAGUGAUGAAGGCCUUAGGGUUGUAAAGCUCUUUCAGUGGGGAAGAUAAUGACGGUACCCACAGAAGAAGCCCCGGCUAACUUCGUGCCAGCAGCCGCGGUAAUACGAAGGGGGCUAGCGUUGUUCGGAUUUACUGGGCGUAAAGCGCACGUAGGCGGAUUGGUCAGUUAGGGGUGAAAUCCCAGAGCUCAACUCUGGAACUGCCCUUAAUACUGCCAGUCUAGAGUCCGGAAGAGGUAAGUGGAACUCCUAGUGUAGAGGUGGAAUUCGUAGAUAUUAGGAAGAACACCAGUGGCGAAGGCGGCUUACUGGUCCGGUACUGACGCUG